UUUUUUUUUUAUUUUGUUGUGGCUGGUAGGUAGCUUAGCCAUUAAAGCUGGGGAUCCAAGAUUCAAGUCAGCUGGCAAAUCUCUUCCCUUCAAAAAAGGAUUAGAGGGAGUUCAUUCCCAUCUUCUAUGAAUGUUGAUUAAGAAUGAUAAUUCCAACAUAUAAUAUGAUUUGAAAAGAGACAUCUAUAUAAAUUGAUUAGAGUUUAAAAUUCAAUAUGAAAAUUCAAUUUAGAUAUCAUGUCUGUAUGCAUAAUUACAUCGAUUUUAAAACAAAUAUCUUUACUUUUGCAUAAAAAUCAAUCAUCUUUUUUAUUAAUCAUGUUAUAUCGUAAUCAAAUUGAAUGUUUUUACAUCGAAUUAGAUUUAGAUUUUAUUAAUAAUUUUACAUUGAUUUGACUUUUGUACGAAGUAAUUAUUUAAAAGUUUUUGUAUCAGUUACUUUUAUAUAAUAUUAUCGUGAAAUCGAUAGAUGAAUAUAUGAUUAAUUGGAGAAAACUAUUUUUUAAAAUUAGAGAAAAAUAACAGAUGGUCUUUGCUCAUGAAAAUGACUAUGAUUAGCCACUCAAAGCAUAUUUGAUUAGGGGAGGGGGGGUCUCAAUUAUGAUUAUGAAAUGGGACAAGGGAAGUGGGACCCAUGUUUGGAUUCAAAGACAAUUUUUGUGGGGCCGAGGAUUAGAUUUCCACGUGGGGUUGUUAUUCUCUGCUGUCAUGUCGUUUCCAUCAACUACUUCUCCUCCAACAGAGUACAAUCCUCGACAGCAAAACAAAUCAGCUCUCAAUAUUUUGCAUCACGCGUUUGCUGUUCUGUGGCUCGUUUAUUGGUCGUUGUUCUACACGCGCUUUUAUUCGUACGUUGAGUUCUCUUAGUUAUUUUUUGCCCGACGUGUGAUUUGGAUCCCACAUUCUCCGCUUUUUCUUUACCCAUUUUUCAUCUUCUUUUUAGCACCUUUUACUUUUUAGUGGCAUAAAGAAAUAAAAAUUCUAAUAUUGCGCAUUUUAAAUAAUUAUCCUAGAUAUUAAUUUUUGGAAAAUAAUUAUUAAUAUUAUUAUUCUCUGUAAUAUAAAUAUUAUCAAAAAAUUAAUUAAAAUUAAACUAGUUAUGAAAAAAAUUAAAAAUAUAUCAUUAAAUGAUUUUUUUGGUCGUAUGUAAUCUUAAGCUAUAUAAAAAGAGAUAAGUAUGUUAUUCUAUAAAUUAUGCUCUCUCUCUCUCUUUAUAAUUUGAACUCAAGAUUUUCAAAUGAAAAAGUUUAAAUAAGUUAUUAUUCUUUUAUUAUAGUUAAUCAAAUUUUUAUAUUUUUAUUUUAAAUCAAAUAGACACUUAUAUUUGUCGGUUGACUAAUUAUUAUUAAUGAAAAUAUCACUAGUCAUUUUUAUACCCAUUUGACACUAACAUGACGCUGACAUUAGGAAAAAAAAUAUCUCAUGAUUAUAUCAUCAUAUCACAUUAGUAUACUACAUCAUCAUCUAUUACGACAUGUUAACAUCAUGUGAUAUAAAAUGACAAAUGAUAUUUUGAUUAAGAAUAAUUAAUCAAUAAUUGAUUUUAAGGAUUUAUCUAGUUCAAAAUAAAAAUACAAAAACUUGAUUGAAUAUAAUAAAAGAAUAAACAAUUAUUUAAAUUUUUUUAAAUAGUUCAUAGACUUUUUUUAAGUAUUAUGCCAAAUAUCAUAUUUUUGUUACAUCGAAAUGUUUUUCGGAGACUAAAUUAUUAAGUUCCUGUGAAUUACAUCUUUCGACAAAAUAAAUUUUUAUUAGAAAAAAUGUAUGACUUAAUUAAGAUGAUUUUUUCCAUAUAUGUGAUUACAAUUAGCUCCAGAUCAUCCAUAUAAUGUCAAUCACAUGUCACAUUUGUUAUAAAGCAUUUGAGCAAAUGCAUAUGGUAUCCAUAUGGAUAUCACGUGUCACUUGAUCUCAUUUUUGGCAUGAUACAUUAUUUGAUCACAUCCCAUGUUGUCUUCUUCCAAAUAAUAAAUACACAUCAAUUAUAUGUCAAAGUGAAUACAAGCAAUGGCAUACAUGUGCAUGUCACGUGCUAGUUCAUUUCCUUUAUAAAUAUACAAAUAAUAAUUAUAUACUAUCAUUUAAUCAUAAAAUAUCUCGUAAAUUUAUAAAAUUAGAAAUUUAAAAUAUAUAAAAAUAAAUAAUUUUAAAAUUUAUUUUAUAAAUGAUAUGAUAAUGACAUUGUAACAAACAUGAACGUAUGAUGUAUUUCUCUUUGAAAUAAUUUGGACCAACCUUAAUUGAGUUUAGCACUUUGACUUUGAUGUUUUUUCAAUCACACAUCAAUUAUGUCAUGAUAAGAUUCGAGUGAACACAUAUAACAUACAUACAUGUGAACGUCACAGGUUAGUUGAUUUUCUAUUUGAUGUGAAACAAAUAUCUCACCAAAUUGUUUCCCUUUCAAACAUUUCACUCUUUAAUUGUGUUUCUCAUUUUAAUUUAUUUUAACCUUAUUUCUUUCAAAAUGCUCUUUUAUUAUUGCAUAAUAUUUAAAAAAAUUUUGAAUUAUUUUAAAAAAAUUCAAAUAAGUAUUAUCCUUUUAUUGCUUUCAAUUAAACGCUUAUAUAUUUUUUAAUCAAAUAAGUUUUUAUAAUUAAUGAUUGACUAACUAUUAUUAAUUAAAAUAUUUCUUGUCAUUCUAUGUUGCUUGACGUUAAUGUAUAACAUGUUGGUAUGUCAUAUGAUAAUAACAUGACAUACUAAUUUAACAAAAUGUUAUAGCAAUAUGAUAUUUUUCACUUAACAAGUUAUCGUCAUAUAGAUAUAAAAUGAUAUAUGAUAUUUAAACUAAUGAUAAUUAGUCAACCCGUAAUUAUAAAAGCAUAUUUGUUCAAAAAUAAAAAAACAAGAACUUAAUUGAAUGUAAUAGAAUAAUAAAAAUUUAUUUAAAAUUUUCUUGAAUAGUUUAUGAGUUUUUUCAAACAUUAUGCGAUUGUUAUUUUAUUCACUUUGACAUUUCAAAAAAAAAAUUAUUCAGUUUAUUCCUUUAUUCAAAUUCAUAAAAUUAAUUCAAACCAAAUUCAAAACUUUUAAAAGAUUGGAGAUGGGAUUUUUUUUAUUAUCAAAAAAUCGAUAUUUAAUCCAACUCUUUGAAUAAGAUACAUAUGCACUUAAUUAUAAUAAAAUGUUUUAAUUUUUUUUUCUCUUUAUUUGCGAUCCUUUUUGUCGAAGAAAAUGAAGGAGAAACAACUUUUCUUCCUCUCUUUUAUUUUUCUUUUCUCAUCUUUUUCUCUAAUUAUUAUUUUCUUUUCUUCAUGUAACAACUACAAUUUACCUAAUAUUAAUCAAUUUGGUAAACUAUAAUGUGCUAUUAAUUAGUUAACCCGGUUAAAUUAUACUCCUAACAUAAUUUCAUUGUCUAUUUCAUUUCUCUAUUAAUCAAAGGUGUUAGAAACAAACUUGAUGAAAUGUAUACUUGAUAUGCCAUGUGGAACUUCUAUGCUGGUACGGAGUAUCCCAUGCGACAAUACGAGGUAAAGAUGAAUUAAUUUUUCAUUCAACACAUGUCGUGUGACACCUCUCGAGGGAGUAUCAUUAAUAUAUAUAUUUUUAAUCAUAUUUAAAAUAUUUAAAUUCUGUUUGAUGGAUAAUUUUAUUCUUUUUACUUGAAAAAUCGUUAUAGUCAAAAACAAAGAAACAUAAAAUAAUAUCAUAAUUAAUUUAAGAUAGAUAAAUAACAAAAAAUAACACCUAUUUACAACAUAAUUAAUUAAUAUAAAAAAAUCCCAAACAAACAAUAUUCUCUCACAUGCAUAGAUAUGCCGUCAAUAAAAUCUACUUUAUCAGAAUCUGUGUAGGAGCACGGGUAAGGAUUAAUUAAUGCUUUGAUGAAAUCUGUUAUUAUCUAAAACUAAUCAUUACACUUUGAUUAUACAAUCCCACUUUCCUCUUUCAUCAGUCUUUAUUCUCCAUCAUCCAAAGGGACAUCCAAGAAUUAGUAUUUAUUAUUAUUAUUUUUUUAUCUUUCCCUUGGAUAUAAAUCGGGGUGAUCAGUUUUCUUCUUUUGGGUUUAGGGUUUUUAUUAGAUUUUGCUUCCUUCAAAUCAAAGAUGGAAACCCCAUUUCAAGACUGAAAUUUAACAGUUUAUGCAUUGCAUAAAGUGAAUGUUCAAGAAUUACCACACUGGCAUGAUCUGAUCUGGAGUCCCAUCAGUGCAGAAAGACUGAAAUUUUAAGGAAUCACCAAGCCCAAAAAAAAAAAAAGGGUCAAAAUUAGAAAUAAAAAAAAAAGUAAAUGGGGAAAGAGAGAACCGAAAAUAAGAUGAUUUUUUUUUUGUAAUUAAUUGGACAAAACAUGAGUAAGCUGAUAAGAAGUUGAGAAAUUAUGCUAAGAAGCAAAACUCUAAGACUAGUAUAAGAAGUUGAAAUGAAAUAAGUAAUUAACACUAUCCUUAAGUAUGCAAGCAAGUAAAAGAAAAGGAUCAAACUGUAGGUCUGGGAUGGAAAGAUAAAACUUAAGAUUCAGAUUCUUUCACUGAAUCAAGUUUUCAAGCACAAAAUUCACACCAUAUAAUUUCAAAGAGAAAAACUUGUUAUGGUAAGGGAGGAGGAGAAGCCAAGGAAAGGAGCAUAUAUAGUGAAAGAAAAUUAAGAAAAGAUGAUCAUUAUAUUUGAUAUACACAUAUAACAAAAAAAAAAAAAAAGGAAAGAAAAUCUAAAGCUAGUAGCAGGUAGCUUCCAAGCAGCAACACAUGUAGAGAUACUUCAAAUUUCUCCCCCCAUAUAUUUUCAGUCUUGCCAGCAGAGAAGCAUGAUAAUACAUCUUCUUAUUAUGUAAAGCCUACCUCUUUCUUCCCUAAGGAACCCUCCAAUUCCCUUGCAUGGACACCUCCUCUUAGACCCUCCAAUUGUAGAGUUUUUCAUCUUCAUCUCUUCUUUGUCAAUAAUGGAAUUUAUUUGCCUUUUCUUUUAAAUUCUAAUUGGUUGGCUUCAAGAAUUCAGUGAACCUUUUUUGCUCUCAGUUCUCUCUGCUGGAUGGAUGGAUCAUUCUUGGAGUUUGAAUGAGGGGCUUAGCUUUCAGUAAUGAUUGACUCUUCUCUUUUUUUGAGAGGUUUGCAUGAACUAGAAGAGCAGGAAAGAAAAGGGAGUGUUCUUAUAGGGAGGAGAAGGUAUGGUCGAGGCUCCACCUGGGCCCAAAUAAAGGAAACCGAAUGUGGUUGAACAAAGGGAUAUGUUUGUGUUUUAUGUCUCUCUUUUCACCGGGCACUGCACUUUGGACCCCAACCCUAUUAUCUGGAAAUAUGUUCAGAAACCAAACAAAAAACUCCCCAUCCCUGCUUUCUCACUUAUGCUUCAUCUCUCUGACAUCUGUAAGCAAGCCUAGGGACAUUUUCUUGGUCCAAU
rnacentral:lncRNA from 1 species